rnacentral:rRNA from 1 species
GAUGAACGCUGGCGGCGUGCCUAAUACAUGCAAGUCGAGCGAACAGACGAGGAGCUUGCUCCUCUGACGUUAGCGGCGGACGGGUGAGUAACACGUGGAUAACCUACCUAUAAGACUGGGAUAACUUCGGGAAACCGGAGCUAAUACCGGAUAAUAUAUUGAACCGCAUGGUUCAAUAGUGAAAGACGGUUUUGCUGUCACUUAUAGAUGGAUCCGCGCCGCAUUAGCUAGUUGGUAAGGUAACGGCUUACCAAGGCAACGAUGCGUAGCCGACCUGAGAGGGUGAUCGGCCACACUAGAACGGAGACACGGUCCAGACUCCUACGGGAGGCAGCAGUAGGGAAUCUUCCGCAAUGGGCGAAAGCUUGACGGAGCAACGCCGCGUGAGUGAUGAAGGUCUUCGGAUCGUAAAACUCUGUUAUUAGGGAAGAACAAAUGUGUAAGUAACUAUGCACGUCUUGACGGUACCUAAUCAGAAAGCCACGGCUAACUACGUG